CCUGGAGGAAGCCGGGUCCUCCCCGCCGCCAGGCGCCGGCCGGCGCGCCACGCAGCCGGCACCCGGGGAAGGUCGCGCCGCGCCGUAGGAGCGGAGGUUCGGACGGGAGAGACGCCUGAGGAGCGAAGCGCGGAGCCACGAAAGCCGGGGACCCGGCGAGCUGAGCUCUCGGCUCGGGUGGCUGGAAUUCGGGAGACGUCCCGCGAAGUCAGAGUCGCCGGGCCCGCGAGAGAUAUUGCGGCGACACGAACCCUCUACUCGGGACCUUUCGACUGGGGUGCGUGGGCUGGUCCCCCGCAGAACAUGAGCAUGGGAGAGGCAGAGAGAAGGGGAGAUACAGGAUCCGAAGCAGGCUCCAGGCUCUGAGGCAUCAGGAUAGAGCCCACUGUGAGACUUGAACCCACAAACUGCAAGAUCAUGACCUGAGCUGAAGUCAGUGGCAUAACCAACUGAGCCAACCAGGCACCCCUAAGCUUUUUUUUUUUAAUUAAAAACAAUUUUUAACAUUUAUUGUUGAGAGACAGAGCGAAUGAGCAAGCAGAAGAGAGACAGAGAGAGGGAGACAGAAUCUGAAGCAGGCUCCAGGCUCUGAGCUGUCAGCACAGAGCCCAAUGUGGGGCUCAAACCCAUGAACCACGAGAUCAUGACCCAAGCUGAAGUUGGACACUUAACCAACUGAGCCACCCAGGGACCCUUUUCCCCUAAGCUUUUAACUUGAAAAUAUCUUUUAGAAAAAUCCAACACCCAUUUCUAAUUAAAAAGAAAAUCAGUAAAAUAACUGAUGGAUCGCAGACCUAAAACAAGUACCUUCCUUAAUAUGUAAUAAAACACUAGAAACAUUUUAAGUUUGGAAUCAAACCAAGUAUGUUAAUCUUUUAUUGCUGGCAUUAACCAAUGAAAUCAUUGAGAAAAUAAUGAGAAUUAUGUAAAUUUAAAAAGUGAAACUAUCUGCAGAAGAAAUGCAUCUAAAAAACUCAACAAUCAAUAAUAGAUUACUGAAUAAUGCAUCAGGAUUUUAAAUUAAUACACAAGGUUGAUACCCUUCAUUUACUUAAAAAACAGGUUAUCACAAUAAGGAAACUCAACAUAUUUAAAAAAAAAAUAAAAUACUUAGAACUCAAAUGUGAAAAGCUCUAAGAAGAAAACUUUAUACUACAGAAAAUCACAAAAUAGACUUGGUCAAAUGUCAUAAAGAUAUAAAGUCUUUCCAGUUUGAUAUAAAACUUUAAUGUAGUUCCCCAAACAAACAAGGUUUGUGCUGGAGAUUAAAGCUGAAUUCACAAGGCGUCUGGGUGGCUCAGUCAGUUAACCAUCUGACCAGCUCAGAUCAUUACCUCAUGUUUAGUGAGUUGAAAUUCCACAUCAGAUGAACACGAGCCCCGCUUCAGGUGAGCCCUGCUUCUCUCUUCCCCUCUCCCCUCUCAGGUCUCCUCAUUUAGGUCUCUCCUCCAUCUUAAGUUUAAUUUUGUGUGUGGUGUAAGAAAAUGAUCGUUGGUUUGUUUUUUUUUUACAUACAGCUGUCUCGUUUUCCCAGCACCAUGUGUUGAACAGACUGUCCAUUUCCCAUUGUAUAUUCUUGUUCCCUUUGGUUGAAGAUUAAUUGGCCAUAUAAUCAUGGGUUUAUUUCUGGGCUCUCUAGUCUGUUCCACUGAUCUUUGUGUCUCUUUUAGUGUCAGUACCACACUGUUUUGACUACUACAGCUUGUAAUAUAACUUGAGGCACAGAAUUUUGAUGCUCUCAGCUUUGCUUUUCUUUUCCAAAAUUUCUUUGGCUAUUCAAGGUCUAAGUGGUUCCAUACAAAUUUUAGGAUUGUUUGUUCUAUCUCUGAGAAAUGCUGUUGGUAUUUUGAUAGGGAUUGCAUCAAAUCUGUAGAUUGCUUUGGGUAGUAUGGACAUAUUAAC
ensembl:lncRNA